rnacentral:rRNA from 1 species
UACGGAAGGCAGCAGUGGGGAAGUAUUGCACAAUGGGCGAAAGCCUGAUGCAGCUAUGCCGCGUGUAUGAAGAAGGCCUUAGGGUUGUAAAGUACUUUCAUCGGGGAGGAAAAACAAAACUAAUAAUUUUAUUUCUUGACGUUACCCGAAAAAGAAGCACCGGCUAACUCCGUGCCAGCAGCCGCGGUAAUACGGAGGGUGCUAGCGUUAAUCAGAAUUACUGGGCGUAAAGAGCACGUAGGUGGUUUUUUUAAGUCAGAUGUGAAAUCCCUGGGCUUAACCUAGGAACUGCAUUUUGAAACUGAAAUACUAGAGUAUCGUAGAGGGAGGUAGAAUUCUAGGUGUAGCGGUGAAAUGCGUAGAUAUCUGGAGGAAUACCUGUGGCGAAAGCGGCCUCCUAAACGAAUACUGACACUGAGGUGCGAAAAGCGUGGGGAGCAAACAGGGAUUAGAUACC